rnacentral:lncRNA from 1 species
AAGUUCAGAUGAACUUAAUGUUUUGAAAAGAAAAAUUGCAAAUGGAGAUAUCCAAUACAUCACUUUUGUAAAACAGUUAUCAUUAAUUGGAGAAUGCAGCAUGAAUGGUCUAAAGAAGAAAAAAAAGUUUAAAAAAUUGACAAGUCUAUGUAU